rnacentral:rRNA from 1 species
UACGUAGGGGGCUAGCGUUGUCCGGAAUCAUUGGGCGUAAAGAGCGCGUAGGCGGCCAGAUAAGUCCGGUGUGAAAGUCACAGGCUCAACCUGUGAAUGCCGCUGGAAACUGUCUGGCUAGAGUCCGGAAGGGGCGAGUGGAAUUCCUGGUGUAGCGGUGAAAUGCGCAGAUAUCAGGAGGAACACCUAUAGCGAAGGCAGCUUGCUGGGACGUUACUGACGCUAAGGCGCGAAAGCGUGGGGAGCGAACAGG